UGGCGAGUUGCCCGAGCGGCCAAAGGGAGCUGACUGUAAAUCAGCCGCGGAAUGCUUCGGGGGUUCGAAUCCCUCACUCGCCACCC
rnacentral:tRNA from 1 species